GUUCAAAUGAGCAAAGGUUUAUAGUGGAUACCUAGAAACCCAAAGAUGAGGAAGGGCAUAGUAAGUGAGGAAAUACUUCAGGGAGUUGAAAAUAAGCGUAGAUCUAGAGAUUCCUGAAUAGGUCAACCUUUGAAACUGCUGUUGAAUCCAUAAACAGGCAAGAGACAACCUAACGAACUGAAACAUCUUAGUAACUAGAGGAAAAGAAAGCAAAAGGGAUUCUCGUAGUAGCAGCGAGCAAAAUGGAAGCAGCCUAAACCGUGAAAAUAAGGUUAUGGGAGAGCAAUACAAGCGUCGUGCUGCUAAGCAAAGCGGUAGAGUGCUGCACCCUAUAUGGCGGGAGUCCAGUAGCUGAAAGCAUCACUAGCUUAUGAUCUGACUCGAGUAGUAUGAGGCACGUGGAAUCCCGUGUGAAUCAGCAAAGACCACCUUGCAAGGCUAAAUACUCCUGGAUGACUGAUAGCAAAGUAGUACCAUGAGGGAAUGGUGAAAAGAACCCCCAUCGAGGAGUGAAAUAGAACAUGAAACCAUAAGCUCCGAAGCAGUGGAAGGAGCCCGAGGCUCUGAUCGCGUGUCUGUUGAAGAAUGAGUCGAUGACUCAUAGGCAAUGGCUUGGUUAAAGGAACCCACUAGAGCCGAAGCGAAAGCAAGUCUUCAUAGGACAAUUGUCACUACUUAUUGAUCCAAACUUGGAUGAUCUAUCCAUAACCAGGAUGAAGCAUGGUGAAACUAAGUGAAGGUCCGAACCGACUGAUGUUUCUGGUUCUUCUCGAAAUGCAUUGAGGUGCAGUAGAUGACUGGACAUCUAUGGGUAAAGCACUAUUUUCGUACAGGCCGCGAGACCGGUACCAAAUCGAGGCAAACUCUGAAUACUAGAUAUGACCUCAAAAUAACAAGGGUCAAGGUCAACCAGUGAGAUGAUCGGGGAUAAGCUUCAUCGUCGAGAGGAAAACAGCCCGGAUCACUAGAUAAGGCCCCUAAAUUACCGUUCAAUAAUAGAGGUAGGGGUGCGGAGACAGCUAGGAGGUUUGCUUAGAAGCAGCCACCAUUGAAAGAGUGCAUAAUAACUUACUGAUCGAGCGCUCUUGCGCGAAGAUGAAUGGGGCUAAGUGAUCUACCGAAGUUGUAAAAUGUAAAAAUGCACCGGUAGGGGAUUCUUUCGCCUUAUAAGGAAGCACCCGCACGAGUGGGGGUGGACGAAGCGGAAGCGAGAAUGUCAGCUUAAGUAGCACAAACAUUAGUGAGAAUCUAAUGCCCUGAAAACCUAAGAGUUCCUCCUCAAGGCUCGUCCAGGAAGGGUGAAUCAGGGCUUAAGAUCAACCGAAAGGCGUAGUCGAUGGACAACAGGUGAAUAUUCCUAUACUACCCCUUGUUGGUCCUAAGGGACGAAGGAGGCUAGGUUAGCCGAAAGAUGGUUAUUGGUUCAAGGAUGCAAGGAGUACCUGCUUUUUCAAGAUAAGAAGGAGUAGAGAAAAUGUCUCGAGCCAAUGUUCGAGUACCAGUAACCCACACCAUACUCUUAGGAAAAGCUUGAAUGACCUUCAACAAAAGGGUACCUGUGCCUAAAACUGACACAGGUAGGUAGGUAAAGAAUACCUAGGGGCGCGAGACAACUCUCUCUAAGGAACUCAGCAAAAUAGCCCCAUAACUUCAGGAGAAGGAGUGCCUCCUCACAAAGGGGGUUGCAGUGAGCAAGCCCGGGCGACUGUUUACCAAAAACACAGGUCUCCAUAAAAUAGUAAGACUGUAUAUGGGGGCUGACGCAUGCCCAGUACUGGAAGGUCAAGGAAGUUGGUGACCUGAUGACAGGGGAGUCGGCGAUUGAAGCCCCGGUGAACGGCAGCCGUAACUAUAACGGUCCUAAGAUAGAGAAAUUCAUUAUUGAGUAAACGUCGACCCACACUAAGGGCGUAACGAUCUGAGCGCUGUCUCAGAGAGAUGCUCGGUGAAAUACACAUGUCUAUGAAGAUGUGGACUACAUGCACCUGGACAGAAAGAUGUACCUGAUUCAAGCAAUAGCUCGCCUUAAAUAACAUCUUUUUAUCUUCUGGAGUACAAUGGGAUCUUCGUCAAGUUGAUUUGGGUUA
rnacentral:ncRNA from 1 species